AAAAGAUUAAAAGACUCUUUUACUGUUCUAUCUCAGGGUCCUUUCCUUCAUGUCUCUGGGUGGCAUAGGCUUGGCCUGGUGGUAUGGGUGGUCAGUCAGGCUUGGGAAGGUCUGCCCCACUCUGGUUGCUGUAAUGACUUUCAGUGGAAGCUGGAUCCAGACCCAAUUCUUUGGCUCCAAUGGAUGGAAUGUCUCCUCUAGGGGGCAGCAUCUGUUUCCACAUGUGGCAGGGCUGAAAGACAAAG